CCUACGGGUGGCUGUAGUGGGGGAUAUUGCACAAUGGGGGGAACCCUGAUGCAGCGACGCCGCGUGGGUGAAGGAGUGCUUCGGCAUGUAAAGCCCUAUCGGCAGGGAAGAAGCAAGACGGUACCUGACUAAGAAGCCCCGGCUAACUACGUGCCAGCAGCCGCGGUAAUACGUAGGGGGCGAGCGUUAUCCGGAUUCACUGGGUGUAAAGGGAGCGUAGACGGCCACGCAAGUCUGGAGUGAAAGGCCGGGGCCCAACCCCGGAACUGCUCUGGAAACUGGGAAGCUGGAGUGCAGGAGAGGUAAGCGGAAUUCCUGGUGUAGCGGUGAAAUGCGUAGAUAUCAGGAGGAACACCGGCGGCGAAGGCGGCUUACUGGACUGUAACUGACGUUGAGGCUCGAAGGCGUGGGGAGCAAACAGGAUUAGAUACCCUUGUAGUC
rnacentral:rRNA from 1 species